rnacentral:rRNA from 1 species
UACCGCGGUUAUACGAGAGACCCAAGUUGAUAGGCUCCGGCGUAAAGCGUGGUUAAGGAAUAAUUAAUACUAAAGCCGAACGCUUACUAAGCUGUUAUACGCUUUACGAAAGUAAGAAGUACAUCCACGAAGGUAGCUUUAUUUUACCUGAACCCACGAAAGCCAAGAUA